UUUUGAGUAUCUAAUUUUAAGUGCUAAGUUCUUACCUUAGUGAUGUGUCAAGUGCACCUCAAAAA
rnacentral:tRNA from 1 species